rnacentral:rRNA from 1 species
GGUCAAGUGAAGAAGCGCAUACGGUGGAUGCCUUGGCAGUCAGAGGCGAUGAAAGACGUGGUAGCCUGCGAAAAGCUUCGGGGAGUCGGCAAACAGACUUUGAUCCGGAGAUCUCUGAAUGGGGGAACCCACCUAGGAUAACCUAGGUAUCUUGUACUGAAUCCAUAGGUGCAAGAGGCGAACCAGGGGAACUGAAACAUCUAAGUACCCUGAGGAAAAGAAAUCAACCGAGAUUCCCUUAGUAGUGGCGAGCGAACGGGGAUUAGCCCUUAAGCUUCAUUGAUUUUAGCGGAACGCUCUGGAAAGUGCGGCCAUAGUGGGUGAUAGCCCCGUACGCGAAAGGAUCUUUGAAGUGAAAUCGAGUAGGACGGAGCACGAGAAACUUUGUCUGAACAUGGGGGGACCAUCCUCCAAGGCUAAAUACUACUGACUGACCGAUAGUGAACCAGUACCGUGAGGGAAAGGCGAAAAGAACCCCGGAGAGGGGAGUGAAAUAGAACCUGAAACCGUAUGCGUACAAGCAGUGGGAGCCUACUUGUUAGGUGACUGCGUACCUUUUGUAUAAUGGGUCAGCGACUUAUAUUCAGUGGCAAGCUUAACCGUAUAGGGUAGGCGUAGCGAAAGCGAGUCUUAAUAGGGCGUUUAGUCGCUGGGUAUAGACCCGAAACCGGGCGAUCUAUCCAUGAGCAGGUUGAAGGUUAGGUAACACUGACUGGAGGACCGAACCCACUCCCGUUGAAAAGGUAGGGGAUGACUUGUGGAUCGGAGUGAAAGGCUAAUCAAGCUCGGAGAUAGCUGGUUCUCCUCGAAAGCUAUUUAGGUAGCGCCUCAUGUAUCACUCUGGGGGGUAGAGCACUGUUUCGGCUAGGGGGUCAUCCCGACUUACCAAACCGAUGCAAACUCCGAAUACCCAGAAGUGCCGAGCAUGGGAGACACACGGCGGGUGCUAACGUCCGUCGUGAAAAGGGAAACAACCCAGACCGCCAGCUAAGGUCCCAAAGUUGUGGUUAAGUGGUAAACGAUGUGGGAAGGCUUAGACAGCUAGGAGGUUGGCUUAGAAGCAGCCAUCCUUUAAAGAAAGCGUAAUAGCUCACUAGUCGAGUCGGCCUGCGCGGAAGAUGUAACGGGGCUCAAACCACACACCGAAGCUGCGGGUGUCACGCAAGUGACGCGGUAGAGGAGCGUUCUGUAAGCCUGUGAAGGUGAGUUGAGAAGCUUGCUGGAGGUAUCAGAAGUGCGAAUGCUGACAUGAGUAACGACAAUGGGUGUGAAAAACAUCCACGCCGAAAGACCAAGGGUUCCUGCGCAACGUUAAUCGACGCAGGGUUAGUCGGUUCCUAAGGCGAGGCUGAAAAGCGUAGUCGAUGGGAAACAGGUUAAUAUUCCUGUACUUCUGGUU